rnacentral:rRNA from 1 species
CCCUUAGAUGUUCUGGGCCGCACGCGCGCUACACUGAUGCAUUCAACGAGUUUCUUCCUGGUCCGAGAGGAAUGGGUAACCUUUUGAAAGUGCAUCGUGAUAGGGAUAGACUAUUGCAAUUAUUGGUCUUCAACGAGGAAUUCCUAGUAGACGUAGUUCAUCAGACUGCAUCGAUUACGUCCCUGCCCUUUGUACACACCGCCCGUCGCUCCUACCGAUUGAAUGCUCAGGUGAGCCAUUCGGACUUUCAUCAUGCUGGUUCCCAGUUUUGAUGAAGGAAAGUCUUGCGAACCUUAUCAUUUAGAGGAAGGAGAAGUCGUAACA